AUGGAGUCUGGCAAGAUGGCUUCUCCCAAGAGCAUGCUGAAAGAUGCACAGAUGAUGGCGCAAAUCCUGAAGGAUGUGGGGAUUACAGAAUAUGAGCCAAGAGUUAUAAAUCAGAUGUUGGAGUUUGCCUUCUGAUAUGUGACCACAAUUCUAGAUGAUGCAAAAAUUUAUUGAAGCCAUGCUAAGAAAGCCAUUGUUGAUGCAGAUGAUGUGCGAUUGGCCAUCCAGUGUCGUGCUGAUCAGUCUUUUACCUCUCCUCCCCCAAGAGAUUUUUAUUAGAUAUUGCAAGAUAAAGAAAUCAAACUCCUUUGCCAUUAAUCAAGCCAUAUUCAGGCCCCAGGUUGCCACCUGAUAGAUACUGCCUGACUGAUCCAAACUAUAGACUUAAGUCUUUACAAAAAAAGGCAUCUACUUCUGCGGGAAGAAUAACAGUUCCACGGUUAAGUGUUGGUUCAGUUACUAGCAGACCAAGUACUCCCACACUUGGCACACCAACCCCACAAACCAUGUCUGUGUCAACUAAAGUAGGGACUCCAAUGUCCCUCACAGGGCAAAGGUUUACAGUACAGAUGCCCACUUCACAGUCCCCAACUGUAAAAGCAUCAAUUCCUGCAACAUCCGCAGUUCAGAAUGUUCUGAUUAAUCCAUCAUUAAUUGGGUCUAAAAACAUUCUUAUUACCACUAACAUGGUGUCAUCACAAAAUACUGCCAAUGAAUCAUCAAAUGCAUUGAAAAGAAAACGAGAAGAUGAUGAUGAUGACGAUGAUGAUGACGAUGAUGACUAUGAUAAUUUGUAAUCUAGCCUUGAUGCUUGUAACAUGUAUACUUGGUCUUGAAACCAUUGUACUGAGAUUAAACAUGCAUGCUGGGUAU